UCUUAUCAAUACCCCGUGUGUUGGAACUGU
rnacentral:piRNA from 1 species